CCUUGGCGUAGCCAGGGCCACACGUCAGCUUAUCACGGCAACCAAAAAGUUGUUAUAAAGUUCAACCGUGACGGUUAGUAGUUUUUGGCGAAAGCACGAAACGAUGGUGAUAUUAAGGUAAGUUGGCUACGUUGA
rnacentral:ncRNA from 1 species